rnacentral:rRNA from 1 species
GAUGAACGCUGGCGGCGUGCCUAAUACAUGCAAGUCGAACGGAAAGGCGCUGCGCUUGUUGCGUGCUCGAGUGGCGAAGGGGUGAGUAACACGUGAGUAACCCGCCCCUGUCAGUCUGAUAACUUCUCGAAACAGGGGCUCAUAUAGCAUAGGAGCUCCUGCUCCAUGGUGUGGGUUGGAAAGUUUCGGCGGUUGGGGAUGGACUGGAGGCUUAUCAGCCUGUUGGUGGGGUAGUGGCUGACCAAGCCUUCGACGGCUAGCCGACCUGAGAGGGUGAACGGCCACCAGGGGACUAAGGUACGGCCCAGACGCCUACGGGAGGCAGCGGGGGGAAGCAUGACACAAUAAGGGGGAGCCAGAGGCAACAGCCUCCCGUGCGGAAUACCCUGCUACUGGUUAUAAACCACUUUCGACGUAAACGAGGACUGAGUGACGGUAACGGGUAAAAAAGCACCGGCUAACUACGUG